rnacentral:rRNA from 1 species
AACGAACGCUGGCGGCAUGCCUAACACAUGCAAGUCGAACGAUCGCUUCGGGGAUAGUGGCGCACGGGUGUGUAACGCGUGGGAACCUGCCCUUAGGUUCGGAAUAACUAUGAGAAAUUUGAGCUAACAUCGGAUAAUGUCUUCGGACCAAAGAUUUAUCGCCUUUGGAUGGGCCCGAGUUGGAUUAGCUAGUUGGUGGGGUAAAGGCCUACAAAGGCGACGAUCCAUAGCUGGUCUGAGAGGAUGAUCAGCAACACUGGGACUGAGACACGGCCCAGACUCCUACGGGAGGCAGCAGUGGGGAAUAUUGGACAAUAGGCGAAGGCCUGAUCCAGCAAUGCCGCGUGAGUUAUGAAGGCCUUAGAGUUGUAAAGCUCUUUUACCCGGGAUGAUAAUGACAGUACCGAAAGAAUAAGCCCCGGCUAACUCCGUG